rnacentral:rRNA from 1 species
UACGUAGGCAGCGAGCGUUGUUCGGAAUUACUGGGCGUAAAGCGCACGUAGGCGGCUUUGCAAGUUAGAGGUGAAAGCCCGGGGCUCAACUCCGGAAUUGCCUUUAAAACUGCAUCGCUAGAAUUGUGGAGAGGUAAGUGGAAUUCCGAGUGUAGAGGUGAAAUUCGUAGAUAUUCGGAAGAACACCAGUGGCGAAGGCGACUUACUGGACACAUAUUGACGCUGAGGUGCGAAAGCGUGGGGAGCAAACAGG